rnacentral:rRNA from 1 species
GCUUAACGCGAAGAACCUUACCUACCCUCGACAUGUCCGAAACUUUCCAGAGAUGGAUUGGUGCCCGAAAGGGAAUCGGAACACAGGUGCUGCAUGGCUGUCGUCAGCUCGUGUCGUGAGAUGUUGGGUUAAGUCCCGCAACGAGCGCAACCCUUGUCCUUAGUUGCUACGCAAGAGCACUCUAAGGAGACUGCCGGUGACAAACCGGAGGAAGGUGGGGAUGACGUCAAGUCCUCAUGGCCCUUAUGGGCAGGGCUUCACACGUCAUACAAUGGUCGGUACAGAGGGUUGCCAAGCCGCGAGGUGGAGCCAAUCCCACAAAGCCGAUCGUAGUCCGGAUUGUUCUCUGCAACUCGAGAGCAUGAAGUCGGAAUCGCUAGUAAUCGCAGGUCAGCAUACUGCGGUGAAUACGUUCCCGGGUCUUGUACACACCG